rnacentral:snRNA from 1 species
GUACUUACCUGGACGGGGUCAACGGCUGAUCAAGAAGAGUCGUGGUCUGGGCUAGUGGUCCACAUUGCACUUGGUGCUGGCCUACCAUCUCCCCAAGUGGGAGAGUGGACGUCGUAAUUUGUGGUAGAGGGGGUACGCGUUCGCGCGGCCCCUGC